rnacentral:lncRNA from 8 species
AUGAUAAUAGCCCGUAGCUGGGUGUUAUUCAUGAUAAUAGCCCGUAGCUGUGUGUUAUUCAUGAUAAUAGCCCGUAGCCGGGUGUUAUUCAUGAUAAUAGCCCGUAGCUGGGUGUUAUUCAUGAUAAUAGCCCGUAGCUGUGUGUUAUUCAUGAUAAUAGCCCGUAGCUGGGUGUUAUUCAUGAUAAUAGCCCGUAGCCGGGUGUUAUUCAUGAUAAUAGCCCGUAGCUGGGUGUUAUUCAUGGUAAUAGCCCGUAGCCGGGUGUUAUUCAUGAUAAUAGCCCGUAGCUGGGUGUUAUUCAUGAUAAUAGCCCGUAGCCGGGUGUUAUUCAUGAUAAUAGCCCGUAGCCGGGUGUUAUUCAUGAUAAUAGCCCGUAGCCGGGUGUUAUUCAUGAUAAUAGCCCGUAGCUGGGUGUUAUUCAUGAUAAUAGCCCGUAGCUGGGUGUUAUUCAUGAUAAUAGCCCGUAGCUGGGUGUUAUUCAUGAUAAUAGCCCGUAGCCGGGUGUUAUUCAUGAUAAUAGCCCGUAGCCGGGUGUUAUUCAUGGUAAUAGCCCGUAGCCGGGUGUUAUUCAUGAUAAUAGCCCGUAGCUGGGUGUUAUUCAUGAUAAUAGCCCGUAGCCGGGUGUUAUUCAUGAUAAUAGCCCGUAGCCGGGUGUUAUUCAUGAUAAUAGCCCGUAGCCGGGUGUUAUUCAUGGUAAUAGCCCGUAGCCGGGUGUUAUUCAUGAUAAUAGCCCGUAGCUGUGUGUUAUUCAUGAUAAUAGCCCGUAGCCGGGUGUUAUUCAUGAUAAUAGCCCGUAGCUGGGUGUUAUUCAUGAUAAUAGCCCGUAGCUGUGUGUUAUUCAUGAUAAUAGCCCGUAGCUGUGUGUUAUUCAUGGUAAUAGCCCGUAGCUGGGUGUUAUUCAUGAUAAUAGCCCGUAGCUGUGUGUUAUUCAUGGUAAUAGCCCGUAGCCGGGUGUUAUUCAUGAUAAUAGCCCGUAGCCGGGUGUUAUUCAUGGUAAUAGCCCGUAGCCGGGUGUUAUUCAUGAUAAUAGCCCGUAGCCGGGUGUUAUUCAUGAUAAUAGCCCGUAGCCGGGUGUUAUUCAUGAUAAUAGCCCGUAGCUGGGUGUUAUUCAUGAUAAUAGCCCGUAGCUGUGUGUUAUUCAUGGUAAUAGCCCGUAGCCGGGUGUUAUUCAUGAUAAUAGCCCGUAGCCGGGUGUUAUUCAUGAUAAUAGCCCGUAGCCGGGUGUUAUUCAUGAUAAUAGCCCGUAGCCGGGUGUUAUUCAUGAUAAUAGCCCGUAGCCGUGUGUUAUUCAUGGUAAUAGCCCGUAGCCGGGUGUUAUUCAUGAUAAUAGCCCGUAGCUGUGUGUUAUUCAUGAUAAUAGCCCGUAGCCGGGUGUUAUUCAUGGUAAUAGCCCGUAGCCGGGUGUUAUUCAUGAUAAUAGCCCGUAGCUGUGUGUUAUUCAUGAUAAUAGCCCGUAGCCGGGUGUUAUUCAUGAUAAUAGCCCGUAGCCGGGUGUUAUUCAUGGUAAUAGCCCGUAGCUGUGUGUUAUUCAUGAUAAUAGCCCGUAGCUGUGUGUUAUUCAUGGUAAUAGCCCGUAGCCGGGUGUUAUUCAUGAUAAUAAUAGCCCGUAGCUGUGUGUUAUUCAUGGUAAUAGCCCGUAGCCGGGUGUUAUUCAUGAUAAUAGCCCGUAGCUGUGUGUUAUUCAUGGUAAUAGUCCGUAGCCGGGUGUUAUUCAUGAUAAUAGCCCGUAGCUGUGUGUUAUUCAUGAUAAUAGCCCGUAGCCGGGUGUUAUUCAUGAUAAUAAUAGCCCGUAGCUGUGUGUUAUUCAUGGUAAUAGCCCGUAGCCGGGUGUUAUUCAUGAUAAUAAUAGCCCGUAGCUGUGUGUUAUUCAUGAUAAUAAUAGCCCGUAGCUGGGUGUUAUUCAUGAUAAUAGCCCGUAGCUGGGUGUUAUUCAUGAUAAUAGCCCGUAGCUGGGUGUUAUUCAUGAUAAUAGCCCGUAGCUGUGUGUUAUUCAUGAUAAUAGCCCGUAGCUGGGUGUUAUUCAUGGUAAUAGCCCGUAGCCGGGUGUUAUUCAUGAUAAUAGCCCGUAGCCGGGUGUUAUUCAUGAUAAUAGCCCGUAGCCGGGUGUUAUUCAUGAUAAUAGCCCGUAGCUGGGUGUUAUUCAUGAUAAUAGCCCGUAGCUGUGUGUUAUUCAUGAUAAUAGCCCGUAGCUGUGUGUUAUUCAUGAUAAUAGCCCGUAGCUGUGUGUUAUUCAUGAUAAUAGCCCGUAGCCGGGUGUUAUUCAUGAUAAUAGCCCGUAGCCGGGUGUUAUUCAUGAUAAUAGCCCGUAGCUGGGUGUUAUUCAUGAUAAUAGCCCGUAGCUGUGUGUUAUUCAUGAUAAUAGCCCGUAGCUGGGUGUUAUUCAUGAUAAUAGCCCGUAGCUGUGUGUUAUUCAUGAUAAUAUCAAAUCAAAUUUAUUUUUAUAGCCCUUCUUACAUCAGCUGA